GAUGAAGAACGUAGCGAAAUGCGAUACUUGGUGUGAAUUGCAGAAUCCCGUGAACCAUCGAGUCUUUGAACGCAAGUUGCGCCCGAAGCCAUUAGGCCGAGGACACGCCUGCCUGGGCGUCACACGUCGUUGCCCCCCCAUCUACUCCUUCGGGAUUGCGGGGGGCGGAUGAUGGCCUCCCGUGCGCCUCGUCGCGCGGUUGGCAUAAAUGCCAAGUCCUCGGCGACGCACGCCACGACAAUCGGUGGUUGCGAAACCUCGGUUGCCCGUCGUGUGCGGUCGUCGCGCAUCGAGGGCUCGAAAAAAUUGCCGGGCUCCGGCUCGGCUUUCAACGCGACCCCAGGUCAGGCGGGGUUACCCGCUGAAUUUAAGCAUAUCAAUAAGCGGAGGA
rnacentral:misc_RNA from 1 species